CCUACGGGAGGCAGCAGUGGGGAAUAUUGGACAAUGGGCGAAAGCCUGAUCCAGCAAUGCCGCGUGAGUGAUGAAGGCCUUAGGGUUGUAAAGCUCUUUUACCCGGGAUGAUAAUGACAGUACCGGGAGAAUAAGCCCCGGCUAACUCCGUGCCAGCAGCCGCGGUAAUG
rnacentral:rRNA from 1 species